UGUCACAAUCAUGCAUACACAUUUAAGGAACUAACUCUAUAUAAUAUUUAAUUUCUCCUUAGACUACCACACAAGAGUCUUACAGAAGUUGCAAGAACUCUGUGAAAACCAGCAAGAUAUCCUUGCUAUGCAAAGGGAAAUUCUGGCUGCAGUGACUGUUCCAGGGGUUAAAGCAGAGGAGGGGGUUCUAGAAAAUGGGCCCUGUCAAACCAUCAAACAACUUAAACAGUUUGACAAAACAUUAGACACUCAAGAGAAAAGGACAAAGAUGGUGAACUACCUACAGUCAAUCGGGGUUCAAAUCCAGGGGCAGCUGUUCGAAAAUGCUGCGUAAGGUGGCCACCAAUGAGGUCCUGGGUGCAUACAGCCUUAGGGGGAAGAAAUCCAAACUAGCCUUCCAAGGUCUCAGGAUUUGUUCCAUUAUUAUAGGUGCAACACAGAGGAAUUUUAAAUCACUGAAGUCAGUUGAGGUGGAGGAUUUGAUUUCCCUGGCUCUAAAAUUUGCCCCCCACAGGAAUUUGAAAUGAAGACUGAGGCGGAAGAACAAGAGUAGAAGACGAAGGAAAAUGAUUAUCAACAUGUUGUUAGUAGUAGUAGUAAUUUAUAGUUAUAGGUAAUUUAUUUAUAGUUAAUACCGUAAUUUAUUUGUUCAUGCUGUAUCGUUCCUUAAUAUGCUUGCACCUGUGCAUGUUUAUUUGUAUAUACUUGAUAAUGAAAUGUUUUGGAAGUAUUUCAUGGCUUAUGCUAUUUUAUAUCAACAAUAAAACAAUGAAUAUGGA